UACAGAGGUCUCAAGCGUUGUUCGGAUUCAUUGGGCGUAAAGGGUGCGUAGGUGGCGCUGUAAGUCAGGUGUGAAAUUUCGGAGCUUAACUCCGAAACUGCAUUUGAUACUGCGGUGCUCGAGGACUGGAGAGGAGACUGGAAUUUACGGUGUAGCGGUGAAAUGCGUAGAGAUCGUAAGGAAGACCAGUGGCGAAGGCGGGUCUCUGGACAGUUCCUGACACUGAGGCACGAAGGCCAGGGGAGCAAACGGG
rnacentral:rRNA from 1 species